rnacentral:rRNA from 1 species
AUUGAACGCUGGCGGCAGGCCUAACACAUGCAAGUCGAGCGGAUGAAGGGAGCUUGCUCCUGGAUUCAGCGGCGGACGGGUGAGUAAUGCCUAGGAAUCUGCCUGGUAGUGGGGGAUAACGUCCGGAAACGGGCGCUAAUACCGCAUACGUCCUGAGGGAGAAAGUGGGUGAUCUUCGGACCUCACGCUAUCAGAUGAGCCUAGGUCGGAUUAGCUAGUUGGUGGGGUAAAGGCCUACCAAGGCGACGAUCCGUAACUGGUCUGAGAGGAUGAUCAGUCACACUGGAACUGAGACACGGUCCAGACUCCUACGGGAGGCAGCAGUGGGGAAUAUUGGACAAGGGGCGAAAGCCUGAUCCAGCCAUGCCGCGUGUGUGAAGAAGGUCUUCGGAUUGUAAAGCGCUUUAAGUUGGGAGGAAGGGCAGUAAGUUAAUACCUUGCUGUUUUGACGUUACCAACAGAAUAAGCACCGGCUAACUUCGUG